rnacentral:rRNA from 1 species
GACGAACGCUGGCGGCGUGCCUAAUACAUGCAAGUUGAGCGAUGAAGAUUGGUGCUUGCCCCAAUUUGAAGAGCAGCGAACGGGUGAGUAACGCGUGGGGAAUCUGCCUUUGAGCGGGGGACAACAUUUGGAAACGAAUGCUAAUACCGCAUAAUAACUUUAAACAUAAGUUUUAAGUUUGAAAGAUGCAAUUGCAUCACUCAAAGAUGAUCCCGCGUUGUAUUAGCUAGUUGGUGAGGUAAAGGCUCACCAAGGCGAUGAUACAUAGCCGACCUGAGAGGGUGAUCGGCCACAUUGGGACUGAGACACGGCCCAAACUGCUACGGGAGGCAGCAGUAGGGAAUCUUCGGCAAUGGACGAAAGUCUGACCGAGCAACGCCGCGUGAGUGAAGAAGGGUUUCGGAUCGUAAAACUCUGUUGGUAGAGAAGAACGUUGGUGAGAGUGGAAAGCUCAUCAAGUGACGGUAACUACCCAGAAAGGGACGGCUAACUACGUG